rnacentral:rRNA from 1 species
UACGUAGGGGGCGAGCGUUGUCCGGAUUUAUUGGGCGUAAAGAGCUCGUAGGCGGCUUGGCAAGUCGGGUGUGAAACCUCUGGGCUCAACCUGGAGACGCCACUCGAUACUGCCAUGGCUAGAGUCCGGUAGGGGACCACGGAAUUCCUGGUGUAGCGGUGAAAUGCGCAGAUAUCAGGAGGAACACCGGUGGCGAAGGCGGUGGUCUGGGCCGGCACUGACGCUGAGGAGCGAAAGCGUGGGUAGCAAACAGG